GACGUAGGAGGCGAGCGUUGUCCGGAUUCAUUGGGCGUAAAGAGCACGCAGGCGGUUUGGCAAGUCGGAUGUGAAAACCCGAAGCCUCAACUUCGGGCCUGCAUCCGAAACUGCCCGACUAGAGGUAGGUAGGGGAGAUCGGAAUUCCUGGUGUAGCGGGUGAAAUGCGCAGAUACUCGAGGAGGAACACCGGUGGCGAAGGCGGACG
rnacentral:rRNA from 1 species